rnacentral:ncRNA from 2 species
UUGUGGAAUCAUAAAUUAACUUAUAUAUAUCAACAUAAAGGGUUGAUGUUUCUACUGUUUUACCAAUAAAACAACUAUGAGUGAUUUAAAAAAUUUU